CCAGAGACCUUUUCCAGGACCAUGUCUUUGAAGCAUAUCUCAGCUCUUGUCUUCCGGAAGCGAUGGAGACAGAAUCCAGAAGCCUGAGACUCUCUCCUUUCCUGGCUUUGAUGAAGCAAGCUGCCACACUGGAGAGGCCUACAUGAUAAGGACCUGAAGGUGGCCUCCAGCUAGCUCCAGCCAACAGUUGGCAAGGAAUUGAGGACCUGAGUCCAAUAGACCUUGAGGAACUGAAUCCUGCCAACAGCUACACAAGUGAGCAUGGCAGUGUAUCCUUCCCCAGUAAAGUCUUCAGAUGAGACCCCAGCCCCAGCUGACACCUUGAUUGCAGCCUUGUGAGAGACUCUGAAGCAGAGAAACCAGCUAGGCCUUGCCUGGAUUCCUGAUCCACAAACUGCUUUUGUGAUGCCCUAUAAUUACAUGAACUCUACUAAAAAGAGGGAUACUGAAAAGAAGAAUAAUGUUGAGUCACCUUUGCAGAAGAAAAAACAACUUCCUCUCUUCCUCUACUUCACUCUGGCAAGUUCUCCAACCUGACAAGCCAGUAGGGAGUGCCAGAAUGUCAUGGCUGAGAAAAGAGAUGUUAACAGGCUGUAUGAUGUUGGCCACAGAGUGCCCCCCUAAAGAGGCCUCAGAAGAAUGAAGGGUAAGAAGCUCCUCCAUGAAAUCAGAUGGCACAAAAUUGGAGGAAAAAGAGUCCUCGGCAUGAGGCUGCCACCAGGAGAAUUCUGAAGAUGCAGGGCAUGAAUGGUCAAUGCCUUUGAUUGUUGGGGCAGAGGUGGAUGACCCACCAGAGCCACCUAGAGAUAACAUUUCCGGAAAAGUCUUCAAGAUGCUCUGCAAUUAAAGUUUCACUGGAGAGCAACCUGUGUUUUUAAUCUCACUGUCCAUGAAGGGCUAAUACGGGCAACAGGAGGUGAGAUGUCUGCUACACUCUUGGAAGUGACCUUGGAGAACUUUCCAGUCUGAGAAACCCCGUCUGCUUUCUCAUUUUACAAAUUGGAAACUGAGGCCAACACAGGGAACAUGACCUACGACGCUUUGGAUCUCCAUGGCAAGCAUUGACACUGGCAAAAAUUAUCUAAUAAACACUUAUAUUGAAUGAGUAAACGUUAGAGAGACAUGGAAGCAAGUAUGAAGGACCUCGCCAGGACUUUAGAUGGACUGAACUGAUCAUAAAAGAAACUUCAGUUCUUGGCCAGGCACAGUGGCUCACGCAUGUAAUCCCAGCACUUUGGGAGGCUGAGGUGGGUGGAUUACCUGAGGUCGAGAAUUCAAGACCAGCCUAGCCAACAUGGUAAAACUGUCUCUACUGAAAAUACAAAAAGUAGCCAGGUGUGGUGACACGUUCCUGUAAUCCCAGCUACUUGGGAGGCUGAGGCAGGAGAAUCACUUGAACCUGGGAGGCGGAGGUUGCAGUGAGCCAAGAUCCCACUACUGCACUCCAGCCUGGGUGACAGAGUGAGGCUCCAUCUCAAAAAGAAAAAAAAAGAAACUUCAGUUCCUGACAAAUUAUAGACUGGAGACAUAGAGAAAAGAUAAUGAUGUGGAUUCUUGAACAAGGGCACAAGACAAUGAAUUUGCUCAUAAACGUGGGCAGAUCUACCGAUUAGACCUGAGGAACAAUGCCUACUGUGUGCCCAGCACUGUGUAAGUUACUUUCAUAUGUACCAACAGACUAAGAAAACAGUAAGCUGUCAAAACUGACUGAGGUCUCCUUGAAUUCUCUCAGACUUGAUUGGCCCCAGAGCUGGGGAUGAGAUGAGCAAGCAUGGACUAUGAGGUUGGUUCAGAUGAAUUUUUGUGAACAAUCGUCUGUCGAUGAAAGGACUGCCUUUGAAGACAAUAUCCUUGGUGAUCUUAAGAGUAUGGUCCUCUGAAGCCAGUGUUCAACAAGAUGUAAAAAUGAGAAGAUUUCAUGCCAUGGAAUUUCUAUCAUAGAUAUGGUUUUUUGUAAUUUUAGCAGUUCCUCUCAACCUUUGCAGCAGUUUUGGAGCCGAGCAGAUGGCAGGGGAGGGCUUAACUAAGUGGUGAAGUUUCAGCUGCAAAAGGCAAUUCCUAGAAUGACAAUUCAGAAACUCAUUUCCCCCAACACUUAUCAUAUUGGCAGAGGGUUAGUGAAUCUUUUUAGAAAAACAAGAAGAAGGCAAUGCAUCAGAAUAAGGCAGCCUAUGUUUGGUUAGGUUAUGUGCAGGCAAACACUACUGAGUCCAAUUCUUUCCUUGCACUGCAAUUCCCAAGGCAACAGGCCAGUCUUGUUUGUAAAUUAAAUAAUAUCCAAAAUAGCUAAAGCUUAGGAUCUGAAAUAUAAGGCACCUCCAGCACAUGGAGCAACUGCUACAUGCAUCCGAAACCAGGGGAUGACAGUUUCAGCUAAGUUGUUCCAACCCUGGCUGGCAUUAAGGACCCCUAGAGUUUCCAGCUAUAUAUCAUAAGGAAACAGCAAGUUUGUAGAAAGAGCAUAAUCUGUGCUCAAAUCCUGCCUCUGAUACUAAAUAACUAUAUGAUCUUGAAAAAAUUACUUUUCCUCUCUGAGCCUCUUUCCACAAAUGGUGGUGGGGUGGGGGAGGGGAUAAUUGCAAUCUCAAAGGCUUAUUGUAAGAAUUCAGUGUGAUAAUAUACAUGAAAGUAAUGAGCAAACCACAAAUCUUAAACUGGUAUCCAUUUUUCUUCAUUUCUAUUCUGCCUAGCUCGGCAGAAGUUUGUCAAAAUAUCUGUUGCUCUUUCAAACUGCUUCAGCUUUGGCUCAUCCAUAAUUUUUUCUUUAUCUUCAAACAACUUUAAUUAUAAUGGUUUGCUUUUCUUAAAAUUUCAUAGCCCAUAUUCUUUGUGAAUGAGACAGUGAGGUUUGGCUUUUGGGACUUUAGUUUUGAUCCUUUACAAUAUGCAUAUAACAAAAACAAUAAAUGUAUUUUAUAUUCUGAA